UCCUUCUUUUUCCCUCUUUUUCCUUAAUUAUUGGGCGUAAAGAGCUCGUAGGCGGUCUGUCGCGUCGGCUGUGAAAACCCAGGGCUCAACCCUGGGCCUGCAGUCGAUACGGGCAGACUAGAGUGCGGUAGGGGAGACUGGAAUUCCUGGUGUAGCGGUGAAAUGCGCAGAUAUCAGGAGGAACACCGGUGGCGAAGGCGGGUCUCUGGGCCGUAACUGACGCUGAGGAGCGAAAGCGUGGGGAGCGAACAGG
rnacentral:rRNA from 1 species